AGACGUCCUUGAAGCAGCGUUUGGACUUCAGAGAUCCGAGUAGUCUCAACACUCGAACCCCGCCCCUUGGUUUUAAAGCCUCGUGGUCUCCCCUGCCCACGUCCACCCCUGCCAGGUGACGCCAGAGCCCUGCUCUCGUGGCUUCUACGACAAAGUCCGCGGAGCGCUCGGAUCCCUGCUGCCCGUGCCACAGGUGCAACGUAGGCCACGCUCUUCCCACUCUGGAGCCCCACGGAAGGAACUGCCCACGAGGGGCCCCGUCACCCAGCGGGACGGCCACUGUGGAACCGCGCCGAGGCCCUAAGCGCUUCCCUUCUGAUGGCUGAGCUGCCGCGCUGUUCUUUCAGCUAAAACAAAUGCAAUGGCUGAGGCUCGUGUCACAGAGCUGCAAAUGCACCCUUCUUGUGGCCGGCCGGAGCGUCGGGGUCACGUGGCAAGCGUGGGCCUGCCUAGGGAGCGGCAGCAGGAGUGAUGAGCUCCACCGUCACCGGAGAGGGUCAAAGAGCCUUGAAAAAACUGAGUGAGAAACCAGAAGGAAGCAGCAGGGGCAGACUGGCCAUGUGGCACGGGGGCAGCUCGCCGGACAGAGUGCCAGGAAACACAGGCGAAGCCGGCGCGGCACCCCGUGAGAACCAACUCCAGAUGCCAGGAGAGGCCCUCACCCCUUCCUCGGGCAGCACCCUCCUACUGGACCCUACCACGGGACCCCACUGCUUAAAGGCCCCGCCGCAUCUUAAUACCGCCACGCUGGGGACCACCCUUCCUGCUCAGAAUCCCUUGGGGUUCACCCACGUCCAGACCACCACAGGUGUCACUGAAGUAGCGGAGCCACAGGGAAGAGUAGCUUUGCGAAGAGAACGGAGAACGCUGUCCUGCGUGUGAAGGUAGCGCCUGGGGCUUUAGUCUGUGGUGGCCAUUGCUCUAUCUUGGGGCCAAGAAGCCACCGCCAAAGUCUGACCCUAAAAGUCUAUUUUGUGUGGAGCAGGGGGCUAGGCCUAUACUUGGGGGUGCCGGCAUCCCACUCGGGGGCGCUGGCUGCGUCCCGGCUCCUCCCCUUCCAGCCCAGCUCCCUGCUAAUGAGCGGGGGAAGGCAGCAGGAGACGGCCCGAGAGCUUGGGCCCCUGCACCCACACGGAGACCCACAUGGAGCUCCCAGCUCCUGGCUUCCCCCUGGCCCAGCCCCAGCUAUUGCGGGCAGUUGGGGAGUGAACCAGCAGAUGGAAGGUUUCUCUGUUUCUUCCCCUCUCUGUCACUUUGACUUUCAAGUAAAUCAAUCUUUUCAAAAAAAUGUAUUAUCCUGGGGCCAGCAAUGUGGCAUGGUGGGUAAAGCCACCGUCUGUGUUUCUGGUUCAAGCCCCGGCUGCUCCUCUUCCAAUCCAGCUCUCUGCUAAUGCACCUGGGACAGCAGUGGAAGAUGGGCCAAUAAUCCUUGAACCCAGACGGCAGACCCAGAAGACGCUCCUGGCUCCUGGCUUCAGAGUGGCCCAGCCCCGGUCAUUUCAGCCAUUUGGGGAGUGGACCAGAAGAUUCAUUCUCUCUCUCUGUCUCUCUCUCUCUCUCUCUCUAACUCUGCCUUUCAAAUAAAUAAAUCUUUAAAAUAACA
ensembl:lncRNA